rnacentral:lncRNA from 1 species
AGAAAGAAUCACAGAUUGAUGUUCUUCACCAGGAUGAGCUGGAUUCUUACCCAGACAGUGUAAAAAAGGAAAACAAAAAUCCAGUAAACAACCUGAUCCGCAAAGACUACUUAGAGGAGCCUGAGAAAACUCAGUGGAAUAAUGUAGAGAACCUCACUAGGUUUGAAAGACCGAUGGAUUACUAUGAAGAUCUAAAAAUGGGAAUGAAGUUUGUCAGUGAUGAACGCUACAAUGAAAGUGAAGAUGGUUUGGUUUCUCAUGUAGAUGGCUCCGUAAUUUCCAGGAGGGAGUGGUAUGUCUAACAGCCACUGACGCGACUUCACUAUGUACAAGGUUUCAUUCACACUAGUUGACCAUUUUCAGAUUGUUCAUACUUUUUCUUGAGGAAGAAUAAGCUUUUUCAAGUUGAUUUCGAGCUUACUUUUUAUAUUCUGAUCUGACAAAUGAAAAUGUAAAACCUGGGUUCAAUGUAUCUGAGCUGCUUUACAGUUUUCACUGCUAUACUACUGUCUCAAGAUUUAAAUUCUAAUGCAGAGUACUUUAUUGGUCUGAGGCACACAGGUAAGAAAGAUGUCAACGUUAAAUGUAUGACGUUUUUGGUACAAAAAUUAAAAACAGAAAAAAAAGAAACUACCUUGGCAUUGUGUAUUAAAUAUUUACCUAAGACUAUAAUCUCAAGUAUAAUGAUUGUGUAACAUAUACCUCUCAAAACUUAUCACCACUAAGAAUACUCCAUCAAAAUUGACAGUAAAACCCAUCCAAGAAAUGCUUAUAUAUUUUUAGUAUACUAAAAUCAUCCAUCCUGAUGGAGUAUCUUCUCAUCGUCAACCAUUCUUUUCUAAGUUUCUAUAGAGAUAGGAUCUUUACCUCUGCAUUUAAAUGAGCCUUGCCAUAAUUACUGUAGAGUGGCUUUUCAAAGAUAUUUUGUUGCACUAAAACUGUGGCCAUAAACUAAGUGAACACGAUGUGUGGAAGAGCAUAACUAGCUGUUCAAUAUUUUUGUCUAAAACACAUGCAAGAGUAAUAAAAUAUAUGCCUCCUGAC